GACGAACGCUGGCGGCGCGCUUAACACAUGCAAGUCGAGCGAGAACCUGGGCUUCGGCCCUGGGGACAGCGGCGAACGGGUGAGUAACACGUGGGUAAUCUGCCCUUGACAUCGGGAUAGCCCGGGGAAACCCGGAUUAAUACCGAAUAGCCUCCGGAGCCUUCGGGCGCCGGAGACAAGGUCGCUUCGGCCUCUGGUCGAGGAUGAGCCCGCGGCGGAUUAGCUUGUUGGCGGGGUAACGGCCCACCAAGGCGACGAUCCGUAGCUGGUCUGAGGGGACGAUCAGCCACACUGGGACUGAGACACGGCCCAGACUCCUACGGGAGGCAGCAGUGGGGAAUCUUGCGCCAAUGCGGGAAACCGUGACGCGGCGACGCCGCGUGGGGGAAGAAGGCCUUCGGGUUGUAAACCUCUUUCAGGAGGGACGAAGCCACUCGGGUGAAUAGCCCAGAGGGUGACGGUACCUCCAGAAGAAGCCCCGGCUAACUACGUGCCAGCCGCCGCAGUAA
rnacentral:rRNA from 1 species